UGAAGUCAUUGAUGCCAUGCUUCCAGGAAAAGCCUCUAAGCUUCAGAUUGUAAGGAAUCGUACCCCAAACCGACACAGGUGGUCGGGUAGAGAAUACCAAGGCGCUUGAGAGAACUCGGGUGAAGGAACUAGGCAAAAUGGUACCGUAACUUCGGGAGAAGGUACGCUCUUAUCGGUGAAGUCCCUCGCGGAUGGAGCUGACGAGAGUCGCAGAUACCAGGUGGCUGCAACUGUUUAUUAAAAACACAGCACUGUGCAAAAUCGUAAGAUGACGUAUACGGUGUGACGCCUGCCCGGUGCCGGAAGGUUAAUUGAUGGGGUUAGUCCUCGGACGAAGCUCUUGAUCGAAGCCCCGGUAAACGGCGGCCGUAACUAUAACGGUCCUAAGGUAGCGAAAUUCCUUGUCGGGUAAGUUCCGACCUGCACGAAUGGCGUAAUGAUGGCCACGCUGUCUCCACCCGAGACUCAGUGAAAUUGAAAUCGCUGUGAAGAUGCAGUGUACCCGCGGCUAGACGGAAAGACCCCGUGAACCUUUACUACAGCUUGGCACUGAACAUUGAACCUACAUGUGUAGGAUAGGUGGGAGGCUUUGAAACGCAGUCGCCAGAUUGCGUGGAGCCGUCCUUGAAAUACCACCCUUGUAGCUUUGAUGUUCUAACUUGGCUCCCUUAUCGGGAGUGAGGACAGUGCCUGGUGGGUAGUUUGACUGGGGCGGUCUCCUCCCAAAGAGUAACGGAGGAGCACGAAGGUGGGCUAAACACGGUUGGACAUCGUGUGGUUAGUGCAAUGGCAUAAGCCCGCUUGACUGCGAGAAUGACAAUUCGAGCAGGUGCGAAAGCAGGUCAUAGUGAUCCGGUGGUUCUGAAUGGAAGGGCCAUCGCUCAACGGAUAAAAGGUACUCCGGGGAUAACAGGCUGAUACCGCCCAAGAGUUCAUAUCGACGGCGGUGUUUGGCACCUCGAUGUCGGCUCAUCACAUCCUGGGGCUGAAGUCGGUCCCAAGGGUAUGGCUGUUCGCCAUUUAAAGUGGUACGCGAGCUGGGUUUAGAACGUCGUGAGACAGUUCGGUCCCUAUCUGCCGUGGGCGUUGGAAGAUUGAAGGGGGCUGCUCCUAGUACGAGAGGACCGGAGUGGACGAACCUCUGGUGUUCGGGUUGUCAUGCCAAUGGCAUUGCCCGGUAGCUAAGUUCGGAAUCGAUAACCGCUGAAAGCAUCUAAGCGGGAAGCGAGCCCUGAGAUGAGUCUUCCCUGAUACUUUAAGUAUCCUAAAGGGUUGUUCGAGACCAGAACGUUGAUAGGCAGGGUGUGUAAGCGUUGUGAGGCGUUGAGCUAACCUGUACUAAUUGCCCGUGAGGCUUAACCAU
rnacentral:rRNA from 4 species